GAUGAAGAACGUAGCGAAAUGCGAUAAGUAAUGUGAAUUGCAGAAUUCAGUGAAUCAUCGAAUCUUUGAACGCACCUUGCGCCCUUUGGCUAUUCCGAAGGGCAUGCCUGUUUGAGUAUCAUGAACACCUCAACUCUCAUGGUUUGCCAUGAUGAGCUUGGACUCUGGGGGUCUUGCUAGCCUAUGGUCAGCUCCUCUCAAAUAAAUCAGCUUGCCAGUGUUUGGUGGCAUCACAGGUGUGAUAACUAUCUACGCUUGUGGUUUUCCAUCAGGUAACCUUCAGUGAUGGAGGUUCGCUGGAGCUCAUAAAUGUCCCUCCUCAGCGAGGACAGCUUUUUGAACGUUUGAUCUCAAAUCAGGUAGGACUACCCGCUGAACUUAAGCAUAUCAAUAAGCGGAGGA
rnacentral:misc_RNA from 1 species